GAUGAACGCUGGCGGCGUGCCUAAUACAUGCAAGUCGAGCGAACAGACGAGGAGCUUGCUCCUCUGACGUUAGCGGCGGACGGGUGAGUAACACGUGGAUAACCUACCUAUAAGACUGGGAUAACUUCGGGAAGCCGGAGCUAAUACCGGAUAAUAUAUUGAACCGCAUGGUUCAAUAGUGAAAGACGGUUUUGCUGUCACUUAUAGAUGGAUCCGCGCCGCAUUAGCUAGUUGGUAAGGUAACGGCUUACCAAGGCGACGAUGCGUAGCCGACCUGAGAGGGUGAUCGGCCACACUGGAACUGAGACACGGUCCAGACUCCUACGGGAGGCAGCAGUAGGGAAUCUUCCGCAAUGGGCGAAAGCCUGACGGAGCAACGCCGCGUGAGUGAUGAAGGUCUUCGGAUCGUAAAACUCUGUUAUUAGGGAAGAACAAAUGUGUAAGUAACUAUGCACGUCUUGACGGUACCUAAUCAGAAAGCCACGGCUAGCUACGUG
rnacentral:rRNA from 1 species